rnacentral:rRNA from 1 species
GAGCGCGCCCUUCGGGGUGAGCGGCGGACGGGUGAGUAACGCGUGGGAAUAUGCCCUUCUCUAAGGAAUAGCCUCGGGAAACUGAGAGUAAUACCUUAUACGCCCUACGGGGGAAAGAUUUAUCGGAGAAGGAUUAGCCCGCGUUAGAUUAGGUAGUUGGUGGGGUAAUGGCCUACCAAGCCUACGAUCUAUAGCUGGUUUGAGAGGAUGAUCAGCCACACUGGGACUGAGACACGGCCCAGACUCCUACGGGAGGCAGCAGUAGGGAAUCUUAGACAAUGGGGGAAACCCUGAUCUAGCCAUGCCGCGUGUGUGAUGAAGGCCUUAGGGUCGUAAAGCACUUUCGCCAGAGAUGAUAAUGACAGUAUCUGGUAAAGAAACCCCGGCUAACUCCGUGCCAGCAGCCGCGGUAAUACGGAGGGG